rnacentral:rRNA from 1 species
UACGGAGGGUGCAAGCGUUAUUCGGAUUUAUUGGGCGUAAAGCGCACGUAGGCGGUUUUGUAAGUCUGAUGUGAAAGCCCGUGACUCAAUCACGGAAGUGCAUUGGAUACUGCAAGACUAGAGUAUUGGAGGGGAGAACGGAAUUCCUGGUGUAGAGGUGAAAUCCGUAGAUAUCAGGAGGAACAACGGUGGCGAAGGCGGUUCUCUGGACAAUAACUGACGCUCAGGUGCGAAAGCGUGGGGAGCAAACAGG